AACUGUUCCGGUGGUUUAGUGGCUAGAGUGUCUGUCUCGGAUACGGAAGGUCGUGGGUUCGAUCCCUGGCCGAGUCA